GACGAACGCUGGCGGCGUGCUUAACACAUGCAAGUCGAGCGGAGCGGCGAACGGGUGAGUAACGCGUGAGUAACUGCCCCCCUCUCUGGGAUAACAGUUGGAAACGGCUGCUAAUACCGGAUAGUGGGGGAUGACUCGCGUCCUAUCCGCUUGUGGGUGGGGUAGUGGCCUACCAAGGCGACGACGGGUAGCCGGCCUGGGAGGGCGACCGGCAACAUUGGGCUGAGAGACGGCACAAACGCCUACGGGAGGCAACAGGGGGGAAUAUGGCACAAGGGGGGAAACCCUGAUGCAGAAACGCCGCGUGCGGGAUGACGGGCUUCGGGUUGUAAACCGCUUUCAGCCAUGACGCGGUAGUGGCAGAAGAAGCACCGGCUAACUACGUGCCAGCAGCCGCGGUAAUUC
rnacentral:rRNA from 1 species